GACGAACGCUGGCGGCGUGCUUAACACAUGCAAGUCGAACGGAAAGGCCCUGCUUUUAGUGUACUCGAGUGGCGAACGGGUGAGUAACAAGAAGGUGGACUACCCUGCACUUAGGGUUAAGCCUGUGAAACUAGGUCUAACACCGAACAGGUGCCAUUUUGAGUGGCAUGGUUGGAAAGUUGUUGCGGUUUUGGCUGGGCCUUCGAGCUAUUAGCUUGCCGGAGUGGUAAUGGCCUACCAAGGCGGCGACCGAUCGCCGACCUGGGAGGGUGGACAGGCACAUUGGGACUGCGAUAGGGCCCAGUCGCCAACGGUAGGCAGCAGUGGGGAGUAUGACACAGUGAGCGCAAGCCUGAUGCGACGGCGCCGCGUUGGGGAUGACGGCCUUCGGGUUGUAAACAACUUUCGCUAGAGACGAAGCUUUUGUGACGGUACCUAAAUAAGAAGCACCGGCUAACUACGUG
rnacentral:rRNA from 1 species